CUCUGAUGCAGCGACGCCGCGUGAGUGAUGAAGGCCUUCGGGUCGUAAAGCUCUGUCGCAGGGGAAUAACACAAUGAAUGUACCCUGCAAGAAAGGAUCGGCUAACUUCGUGCCAGCAGCCGCGGUAAGACGAGGGAUCCUAGCGUUGUUCGGAAUUAUUGGGCGUAAAGCGGGUGUAGGUGGCUUUGUAAGUCAGAUGUGAAAGCCCAGGGCUCAACCCUGGAAGUGCAUUUGAUACUGCGAAGCUUGAGUGUAGGAGAGGUUACUAGAAUUCUUGGUGUAGUGGUGAAAUACGUAGAUAUCAAGAGGAAUACCGGUGGCGAAGGCGGGUAACUGGCCUAACACUGACACUCAGACCCGAAAGCGUGGGGAUCAAACAGGAUUAGAUACCCUGGUAGUCCACGCCGUAAACGAUGGAUACUUGUUGUUGGAGGUAUUGACCCCUUCAGUGACGAAGCUAACGCGUUAAGUAUCCCGCCUGGGGAGUACGGUCGCAAGAUUA
rnacentral:rRNA from 1 species